CUUAAGUCUGACAUCGUAGAAGGACCAAUCUUGCAUCAGAUUGGAUUUUGCACCUGAGUCUGAUAUCGUAGAAGAACCAUUCUUGCAUCAGAUUGUUAUUAUUAAAUUUCAUUAUCUUUAAUAA